AGAAAUAAAACUGGGUCACCCAAGAUUCACAAAAUAAACAUCCUAACCUGGCGUCCUGUUUAAAUGAGGGUGCAGCGAGACUGAAAAUGCCAGGUACAAAGAGUCCAGGGUAAGAUGACUUCACAACACAAUAAAAGCCCGAGUGCCCGGGAUGAAUUCUC